rnacentral:rRNA from 1 species
CAAUCUGACAACUUAGAAGUCAUUGACACAAUGAAGAAUGGAGGUCAUUCUGCUGGAGCGGUGGCUGCAAUUUUUGAGGAUUGCUUUCUUAUGGCUUGUGAUUUUCCUCUUACUAGUUUUGAGCAUUGUAAUAGAGAAGCGAAUAAAGUUGCCCAUGAGCUUGCUAGAAUGGCAAAAUGUUCCAUGGCUAGGGAUUGGUUUGAGGAGCCCAUGGAAAAUAUUGUAUCUUUUCUUAUAGACUAUGUAGCCAUUAUCUCUAAUUAA